rnacentral:tRNA from 1 species
GGCGGAGUAGCUCAGUUGGCUAGAGCAUGCGGUUCAUACCCGCAGUGUCGGCGGUUCGACUCCGUCCUCCGCUACCA